GCUUCUUUAAGUCCGCCUCCAUCGCCCGCUUCUUCCCCCAGUUCGAGUCGGCCACCGCAAGCGUAUGAUGAAUGUGCAUUAAAUUAACCAUUCCCUCCGUGCUCGUCGCCACACUCUCGGGCUCGCUUGGUGCAGGUCGGGAACCGAUCAGUCGGGGUUAGGCCGCCGGAUUCCGCCGCUGCCGACGCCUUAUCCGGUCCGCCCUCCCCCCGCUUUGGCUGGCUUGCUUCCCCACUUGCAUCAAGUGAAUUCGAGAAUACUUGGCGAAAAAGGAAGGCUCGCGAUUGGAUUAGGGUCUUCCAUCGAACCGUGUUCUCUGGUAGUGUUACUCUCUUGUGGUUUUUUCUCGGCUUGUCGAUGAAAGGUGGGCUUUUUUGCGGGAUAUGCAGCUACUUGGGCAUAUACAGAGUAAGAACAAGUUACCUCAGUUGCUUUCUUCAGAUUCGAUCUAUAGGCAUCGAGGUAAUUAUUCGAUGCGCGAUCCAAGGCUAGCUUGCUCUUCUCAACUUACUACGUCAUCAUGUGUGUUGUUAUCAAGCUACUUCCUGGAAUUAAUCUGCUUAAGCUCGACCACCGACCGAGAAGGGAGUGCAGCGACAAGAUCACUUUUAAGAUCCAAUGCGAAGUGCA